rnacentral:rRNA from 1 species
UACGUAGGGGGCUAGCGUUGUCCGGAAUCAUUGGGCGUAAAGAGCGUGUAGGCGGCCCGGUAAGUCCGCUGUGAAAGUCGGGGGCUCAACCCUCGGAUGCCGGUGGAUACUGUCGGGCUAGAGUACGGAAGAGGCGAGUGGAAUUCCUGGUGUAGCGGUGAAAUGCGCAGAUAUCAGGAGGAACACCAAUUGCGAAGGCAGCUCGCUGGGACGUCACUGACGCUGAGACGCGAAAGCGUGGGAGCGAACAGG